CGCUCCGGUUGCCUAGUGGUUAGAGCGUAUGCCUCGGAUGCUGGAGGUGACGGGUUCGAACCCCGGCUGAGUUA